AUGUACAGUAUAUAUUUCCCUCGAGUACAUGAACAAGCAGGUUCAUCCUGGACGUUUAAGCAUCAGAGCGCGGUGGCACAAAUACAAGAGUGGACAAGGUACGGUGCAACGCAAAAUCACUCCAGUGCUGGCAUUUGCGCCCUCUUCUUGCAUCAUUUCUUCUUCUUCUCCGAUCUGUCAGACCAAGCCGACCAGAUGCGGAACCCCAAACGCUGUAAUAUUCACUCUGUCUGUACACGCCGCCAACUUCGCUUCGUUAAGAGCGAAGGUUUGAGAGCACGCGUGUACCGUAUUUCCCGUACGUGUUGCGCACGCUCAUAUUCCUUGCGGCGCCGCGAAGGCGCACGCGGCGAGCAUCUGCCGCUUCAUCUCCAUCUUCUCCUUCUGCUUGAGAUGCACGCGCCCGUGCCUCUUGCGCUCGUCGCUGCGCGCGAAGCGCCGGCCGCACACGUCGCACGAGAACGGCUUCUCGCCCGUGUGCGUCCGCGUGUGUGUGGUCAGGUGGUCGCUGCGGCUGAAGCUGCGCAGGCACACGCGGCAGCGAAACGGUUUGUGGCCCGUGUGGAUGCGGACGUGGCGGUUGAGCUCGUCCGAGCGCGAGAAGCGCCGCUCGCAGUUCUCCGCCGGACACGCGAACGGCUUCUCCUUGGCUUGGGCUUUGCUGGCGCGAGCCGGCGCCCUCGGGGCGCGCGCUGCGCCGCUCGCGGAGGCGUCUGUCAACAAGGACGAGUAAAGGAGCGGGUGUGCGCUGCUGCUCCCAGAGGACGGGCUGCAACGGAAGUCGCACUGAUCGAUCACGGUCUGCAGAUCGAUGGCGGGGAAAGCGGCCGGUGUCAGGACGCCGCCGCUCGGGUUCCUUGGAGACCCAGGGACCUGUGCUGGGAAGCUGCUGGGCACGAGGGAGCCGGAGAAACUUUGCGCGCAGCUGGGAGCGAAGCGCUGCUCCUGCUUGAUCGCACCGUCCAUCUUGCAGCCCAUGUCGGAGCUCAAGGACUGGAGAAAGUCCUUCACAUCCACAUCUUCUUGGUCCGGCAGGCUGUCAGCUGCCGCCUGCGACGGUCCCGACACAAAAUCCGGCGGCGAGUAGGUGCUGGGCUUGCAGAAAGAGUCCCAUCCAUACGAGUCUUCCUCGGGCUCAGUUUUCACCACAACAGGAAACGCCGCCUGGAUCUGAGGGCUCUGCUCCGGACGUUCAGAAGCGUCAAAGUUGGACUGGACCACAGGAGCGCCGUGCACGCGCAGCAGAGCGUCUGGAAAGCCGUGGCAGAUGUGCGCCGAAGAGUGUGGCGCCGCUGGAUUCGCGGCGGCCCCUCCCGAGCACGUGGAGACCAGACCCUGGCCUUGCGCACAGAGCGCCGUGGGCGUGGGGAGCGCGAGCUGGGGCGCACUCUGCUGGAGCUCGGGCACGGGUAA
rnacentral:lncRNA from 1 species